UCCAUUAACCAGGUGUUUGGCAGUUUUUCUUGUAGAUUUUUUUCAGGAGUUCAGUCUUCUUGAGUGGCAGUUGUUCUUGCCCUACUCCCUUGCCACGCAUGGCAAGGGAAAUGAGCAGUUCUUCAUCCUCUCCUUUGGCCUUCUGUGUACUGGAAAAAAUGUGUUCUUGUGUUCUUGCAAGCUCUGAUGUUUUUUUUUACCACAGUCAUCUAAUCAUAGAAUCAUAGAAUAUGAGGGUUGGAAGGGACCCCAGAAGGUCAUCUAGUCCAACCCCCUGCUCAAAGCAGGACCAAUUCCCAGUUAAAUCAUCCCAGCCAGGGCUUUGUCAAGCCUGACCUUAAAAACCUCUAAGGAAGGAGAUUCUACCACCUCCCUAGGUAACGCAUUCCAGUGUUUCACCACCCUCAUAGUGAAAAAGUUUUUCCUAAUAUCCAAUCUAAACCUCCCCCACUGCAGCUUGAGACCAUUACUCCUCGUUCUGUCAUCUGAUACCAUUGAGAACAGUCUAGAGCCAUCCUCUUUGGAACCCCCUUUCAGGUAGUUGAAAACAGCUAUCAAAUCCCCCCUCAUUCUUCUCUUCCUACUCUUUAAAGGAGUAAAAAGGCUUGAGCCCUGUCUAAAUUGGUUUCUACCAUGCAGCUUUAGUGAUGCCACUUAAAUGCUAUCUACAAUACAAAACUUGUUGUGUUAACCACCAUUUGAUUCCCCCAACACAUCUUUAACACAUUUUGUAUGUAUUAAAAUGUUUCCAAUGGUACACAGGCAUUACAUCCACUGUAUAGAUGACCCUUUCUUGAAGAAAGAAAAGGAGUACUUGUGGCACCUUAGAGACUAACCAAUUUAUUUGAGCAUAAGCUUUCGUGAGCUAAUUGGUUAGUCUCUAAGGUACCACAAGUACUCCUUUUCUUUUUGCUAAUACAGACUACCAGAGUAACUAGCUGUUACUAACAGCUAGUUACUAACAGAGUAACUAGCUGUUACUCUAAAACCUUGCUUGAAGAAAGGCUAACCACUGUGCUAAUAUCUAUUGCAGUGCUCGUGUGGAUAGGGAUUGCUGGGGUAACAUCCCUCAAUUGUACAAGUAAUCCUCAUGCUAUGAUCUCACAGUGCAGCAUUCACUGCCUAGGUGACCUUCGUCAGUCUACUUCCUGAAGUUUCUUGUGUAGGGUCAAGUUGUGCAAAUAGCUUUACAUACAGAAUGGAACUCAAAUGUAUGUUGUUUCCAUGGCGAUCAGUUUCUUCUACAACUUUGCUGAAAUUAUUCUUGUUCUGACAGCAGCAUGUUUUGGAGGUGUCCAUCAUGUGACCAUAGAAUUAGCUACCUGAGGUUGCUGUGCAAACACUAAUGGCCAUAUAAGGAGAUAAGGCCCAGAUGAUCUUGGUCAUUCAUAAUAGUGUGAGACUGGGAGUCUGAGUGACUGGUGGAGAUGGGCAUCACUAGAGGGGAAGGCAAUGCCAAGAAAAGGUAAAGGGAUUGAACAUCCUGUAUAAUGAGGCCGGAGCUAGUGGCAGUAGGCCUGGUUCAGGGCAAAAAGUGUGCUCCUUUUAUAAUGAACUGGACAAAUUAUUUGAGGCUCAACCUUCCAGAGCCACAGAAAUACUUCUGCAUAGCACAAAGGUCCCAUGCAUUGCAUUGAUGGAAGAGGGCUCCAUCAACAAUUUGGACCACUGGAACAUGAAGCUAGUUCUGAAGAUGCCAGGCAUGUUGCUGACCUCAUAGGAACUGUUUUGUGUGCAUGAAAGAUCCAGAAAUAGCAGCCAAGAUAGAUUGGCAGGACAAGGAAUCUGAAAACACAGAGCUCUCAACACCAGUGGCCACACCAGUAGGAUGGAUGUCCCAGAAGAGGCAUGGUGUCAUGCAGAAUAGAUUCACAGUGGUGAAAUAUCUGUCAGUGUACUGGUUCAAGGAACACAAAAUGAGGGCCAAUUUGCAAUAUAGGGCAAAGCACAAUGAGGCAGGACUAUUUCAGGAAGAGGAGAAAUUAGAAUGGGAGACGGAGUUCUAAAGGGAAACGUUCAACUGAUGCAAAGUGUUCAGGAAAAUGACUCUGUUGAUCGAACAACUGAUCCCUGCAUUGCCUGUAAAACACAACAUUAAAUUAGGAUAAUAGUUAUGAGGCUGCCACCUACUCUUCAGCUCCCUUGCUUUCUAUUCCUCUGGCAACUUGCGCCUUUAGAAGCCAAUGGAAAGGAAAAUUGGAAUCCCAGUAAGAUAAUUUGUGAAUGAAUGUCUGUUGCCUUUCAUGUACAAAUGUUACUUUGUUUUGUUUUUGCAGCUGACUUGCAAAUGUUUGUAUAAUAAAACAUUUUCUUAAAAAUAAA